AAGUGUUUAAUGAUAGUUAAAAUUUACAUCAAAACAAAACUGUACAUUAUGGUUUGUAUGACAGUGAAUCGCUGACCCUCUCGCUAUUAAUUAUAUUUCAGAGAUGGUUUUGGUAGAAUGUAGGUGUCCAGUUGUAUCUACUGUUGUUGGUACCUCCAGUAGACUGUACAGAGGGGACCAAACAAACAGCAGAAUGCGUAGAUUCAUGUUUGAAUUUCAACAUGUUUUAGGUGUAGUAAUCCAAUAACUUUUCAAAUGUAGUAGGUUAUGUUAAUCUCUGUUAUCCAGGUAAGUAUGAGACAUUUUUGUAAAAUUCAAAAGCCAGUAAAUUGAUAAAUUACAAGGCAUCACAAGUGAUACAAAUCCCCUCGCUUUCACACAUUGUGUGCCAUAUGUACACGAGGAAAUUAAUAGAGAAUUCAAUGAUGUAACAGUAACUGCUCUAGCUACUGCAUCUGUUAAAGGUAUUGUCAACGCAAACACUUGUAUAAAGUUUCAUGAAAUUGCAUUGAGGAAUGAAGUCGCUAGAGUGAUGACAAAGUUUUCCUAAAAAAUAUUAACAGUGACCUUGACCUUCAACGCAGUAGCCCGAAACGCAAACUUGUUCAAAGUAUUGUCAUUCCAAACACUUGUAUGAAGUUUUAUAAAAUUCUGUGGAGAAAUGAAGUUGCUAGAACGAUGACAAAGAAUGUACUGUACGUAUGUAUUGUAUGUACAUGCGUAGGUAAGUGUAUGUACCUGAAUAUGGGCGGAAUCCUAUAUAACCUCAAACUUUCGUAGCAAGGGGAUUAUAAUGAUAGAAUUAUACAUAUUCAUUUCUUACAUUACAUACAGCAUAUACAACUUGAACCCAAAUAUAUCAUACUAGGUGUGACCAUGUGACGGGGAACCUCUAGUCACUAGGUGUGGCCAUGUGUGUGACUGGGAGCCUCUAGUCAUUAGUUGUGACCAUGUGUGUGACAGGGAGCCUCUAGUCACUAGAUGUGACCAUGUGUUUGACGGGGAGCCUCUAGUCACUAGGUGUGACCAUGUGUGUGACAGGGAGCCUCUAGUCACUAGGUGUGGCCAUGUGUGUGACUGGGAGCCUCUUGUCACUAGGUGUGACCAUAUGACGGGAAGUCUCUUAGUCACUAGGUGUGACCAUGUGUGUGACCUGGAGAAUCUUGUCACCAGGUGUGACCGUGUGAUGGGGAACCUCUAGUCACUAGGUGUGACCAUAUGUGUGACUGGGAGCCUCUUGUCACUAGGUGUGACCAUAUGACGGGAAGUCUCUUAGUCACUAGGUGUGACCAUGUGUGUGACGGGGAGUCUCUAGCCACUAGGUGUGACCAUGUGUUGGACGGGGAGUCUCUAAUCACAAGGUGUGACCAUGUGACGGGAAACCUCUAGUCACUAGGUGUGGCCAUGUGUGUGACGGGGAGCCUCUAGUCACUAGGUGUGACCAUGUGACGGGAAGUCUCUAGUCACUAGGUGUGACCAUGUGACGGGAAGUCUCUAGUCACUAGGUGUGACCAUGUGACGGGAAGUCUCUAGUCACUAGGUGUGACCAUGUGUGUGACGGGGAGUCUCUAAUCACAAGGUGUGACCAUGCGACGGGGAACCUCUAGUCACUAGGUGUGACCAUGUGUGUGACGGGGAGCCUCUAGUCACUAGGUGUGACCAUGUGACGGGAAGUCUCUAGUCACUAGGUGUGACCAUGUGACGGGAAGUCUCUAGUCACUAGGUGUGACCAUGUGUGUGACGGGGAGUCUCUAAUCACAAGGUGUGACCAUGCGACGGGGAACCUCUAGUCACUAGGUGUGACCAUGUGUGUGACGGGGAGCCUCUAGUCACUAGGUGUGACCAUGUGACGGGAAGUCUCUAGUCACUAGGUGUGACCAUGUGACGGGGAGCCUCUAGUCACUAGGUGUGGCCAUGUGUGUGACGGGGAGCCUUUAGUCACUAGGUGUAACCAUGUGUUGGACGGGGAGUCUCUAAUCACAAGGUGUGACCAUGUGUGUGACGGAGAGCCUCUAGUUACUAGGUGUAACCAUGUGUUUGACGGGGAGCCUCUAGUCACUAGGUGUAACCAUGUGUUUGACGGGGAGCCUCUAGUCACUAGGUGUGGCCAUGUAUGUGACGGGGAGCCUCUAGUCACUAGGUGUGACCAUGUGAAGGGAAGUCUCUAGUCACUAGGUGU